GGACUGACGUCAUGGUCCGGUGCCUCAAGCUGCUGAAGGAGUUCAAGAAGAAGGUGGAAGAUGACCACGAUGACGAUGACGAUGAGGAAGUCAUCUCCAAGGCCGUGCUUCCCGUGGACAUCGUUUACGAGCGGGAUAUGCUCACGCAGACCUAUGACCUCAUUGAGCGCAGAGGCACGAAAGGAAUUUCCCAAGCUGAAAUCCGAGUGGCCAUGAACGUGGGGAAGCUGGAAGCAAGAAUGCUGUGCCGGCUUCUUCAAAGGUUCAAGGUUGUCAAGGGGUUCAUGGAGGACGAAGGCCGGCAGCGGACCACCAAGUACAUCUCAUGCGUGUUCGCUGAGGAGAGCGACCUGAGCCGGCAGUACGCGCGGGAGAAGGCCCGGGGCGAGCUGCUGACCACCGUGAGCCUGGCCUCCAUGUCCGAGGAGCCGCUGCUGCCUGAAGGCGAGGACGCCUUUCUCUCCGAGUCGGACAGCGAGGCCUCGGGAGGUCGGGCCUCUGGGGCAGGCGCCUGUGGGAUUGCACUUCAGACAGCCCUCCCUCAGGCUGCGGGGGGUCAGGGCCGAGGUGAGGAGGCGGGGAGGGAGGGCCAGGGCGAGCGUCCGUCGUGGGGGCCUAGCCCCCCUUUGCGGGCGCUGAGCCAUCUGACCCCCAGGGGUUCAUGGAGGACGAAGGCCGGCAGCGGACCACCAAGUACAUCUCAUGCGUGUUCGCUGAGGAGAGCGACCUGAGCCGGCAGUACGCGCGGGAGAAGGCCCGGGGCGAGCUGCUGACCACCGUGAGCCUGGCCUCCAUGUCCGAGGAGCCGCUGCUGCCUGAAGGCGAGGACGCCUUUCUCUCCGAGUCGGACAGCGAGGAGGAGGGCAGCAGGGUCAGCAAGCGCAGGGCCCGGGGAGCCCAGCCCCACGUGCGGCCGUCUGCGGAGUUCGGGCCUGGUGCGCAGCCUCAGCACUCCACCCCGACCAAGGGCGGGUGGAAACUGCUCAACCUUCACCCCUUGAAGAGGCAGCUGCCUUCCUCCCCAGGGGCUGCUGAGGAGCGAGCCUCCCGGAGCUCGGGGGCCAGGGACAACCUGGACACCAGCGGCUCCUCGGACUUCAACGUGUCCUUCGGCUCCCACUGCAUGGAGAGCGCCAGUGGCGACAUAGCCAUGAUCGAGGAGGUGCGGCUGGACAACCCCAAGGAGAGUGGCAGCUCCCAGAAGGCUGGGAAGCAUAGCACAGGCCUGGAGAAGCCCCACAAGACUUACCGCCUGCUGAAACGCCGGAAUCUGAUCAUAGAAGCUGUCACCAACCUUCGCCUGAUUGAGAGCCUGUUCACGAUUCAGAAGAUGAUCAUGGAUCAGGAGAAGCAGGAGGGCGUGUCUACCAAGUGCUGUAAGAAAUCCAUUGUGCGGCUGGUGCGGAACUUGUCUGAGGAAGGCCUCUUGCGGCUGUAUCGGACCACAGUUAUUCAGGAUGGCAUCAAGAAGAAGGUGGAUCUGGUUGUGCACCCAUCCAUGGACCAGAACGACCCUCUUGUGAGAAGUGCCAUCGAGCAGGUUCGCUUCCGGAUCUCUAAUUCAACCACAGCAAACAGGGGGAAGGUUCCCCAGCCUCCAGCACCUCCAGAGGAGGUAGAAGAAGAAAGUCAAGGACAAGAGGAACCAAGCAGAUCGGGAGACUGUGACAUGAAUGCGUCCUCUAAACCAGAGAGUGGGCGGGGGAAAAAGACCGAUGAGAAGAUGGGCGUGACCCCGAUGAAAAAUUACCACCCUGUUGUAGUUCCUGGCCUUGGGCGCUCUCUCGGGUUCCUGCCCAAGAUGCCUCGCCUGCGGGUGGUGCACACGUUCCUCUGGUACCUGAUCUACGGGCACCCUGCCUGCUAUGUAAUGGAGAAGCCAGUGUUGUUUGGCAGUGAGAGGAGAGGCGGCAGGCACCCCAGAGGUGACUGGGAUGCCUCGGAUCUCAGGGACAAUCCAGACGGUGUCACCUGGGAGACUGAGGUGGAGCUGUCCACAGAGACAGUGUACGUGGACGACGCCUCGUGGAUGCGCUUCAUCCCUCCCAUCCCGGUCCACAGGGACUUUGGCUUUGGCUGGGCGCUCGUCAGUGACAUCCUCCUCUCGCUGCCCCUCUCCAUCUUCGUCCAGAUUGUGCAAGUCAGCUACAAGGUGGACAACCUCGAGGAGUACCUGAACCACCCUCUGAAGCAGCACACGCUCAUCCGCUUCCUCCCCAGGCCCAUUCGGCAGCAGCUCCUGUACAAGAGGCGGUACAUCUUCUCGGUGAUGGAGAGCCUGCAGAGACUGUGCUACAUGGGGCUACUGCAGUUCGGCCCCACGGAGAAGUUCCAGGACAAGGACCAGGUUUUUGUCUUCCUGAAGAAGAAGGCAGUCAUCAUUGAUACUACCAUCUGUGACCCCCAUUACAACCUGGCCCACAGCAGCCGGCCCUUCGAGAGGCGGCUCUAUGUGCUGAACUCCAUGCAGGAUGUGGAGAGCUACUGGUUCGAUCUGCAGUGCGUCUGCCUCAACACCCCGCUAGGUGUGGUGCGCUGCCCAGCCGUCCCGAAGAACAGCGCCGACCACGCCAGUGACGAGGAGGGCAGCCUGCGGAAGGAGCAGGAGAAAGCCGUUGACAAGCACAACCUGGAGCGCAAGUGCGCCAUGCAGGAGUACACCACGGGCAGCCGGGAGAUCAUGGAUGAAGGCCACAUCCCUGGCGACGGGUUGGGAGCCGCUGGACUCGAUUCCAGUUUCUAUGCACACCUGAAACGCAACUGGAUCUGGACCAGCUACAUCAUCAAUAAAGCCAGAAAGGAGAACAUCACUGCAGAGAACGGGCUCACAGUGAGGCUCCAGACGUUUCUGUCCAAGCGCCCUUUGCCACUCGGAGCUGCAGGCAGUAGUAGGCUGCCCCUCUGGGGGGAAGCGAAAGCGGGCAGUGAGCUCUCUGCCCACCGGGAGCAGUUUGGGAUGGAGCGGGAGCCCACACUGGGCCGAAGCCGAAGGGUGAAGGGCGGCAGAAACCAGAAGCGGAAGCGGCUGAGGAAGGACCCUGUCAGGAGGACCAAGCGGAGGAGAAAAGAGGAGCUGCCAGGAGCCAAAAUCAAAAGGCCGCGCUACCACGACGAGGCCGACCAGAGCGCCCUGCGGAGGAUGACGCGGCUGCGUGUGUCCUGGUCCACGCAGGAGGACGGGCUGCUUGUGCUCUGCCGAAUCGCUAGCAACGUCCUCAAUUCCAAGGUGAAGGGCCCGUUUGUCCCCUGGCAGGUCGUGCGGGACAUCUUGCAUGCCACCUUUGAAGAGUCUCUGGAUAAAACAUCUCACUCUGUUGGACGAAGAGCUCGCUACAUUGUGAGGAACCCACAGGCCUAUAUGAACUACAAGGUUUGCCUGGCUGAGGUGUACCAGGACAAAGCACUGGUUGGCGAUUUCAUGAACCGAAAAUGUGACUAUGAGGACCCGAAGGUUUGCGCCAAGGAGUUUAAAGAGUUUGUGGAGAAGCUCAAAGAGAAGUUCAGUUCCGCUCUGAGGAAUCCCAACCUCGACAUCCCAGACACGAUGCAGGAGCUGUUCGCGAGGUACCGAGUUUUGGCAAUUGGAGAUGAAAAGUACCGGACGAGGAAAGAGGACGAGCUCAGCAGCGUGGAGGACAUCCAGUUCCUGGUGCUGCAGAACCUGAUCCAGAGCACGCUGUCCCUCUCCAACAGCCAGGUGAAGUCCUGCCAGUCCUUCCAGAUGUUCCGCCUCUCUACCGUGAGCAAGGAGCCGGUGCUGGUGCGGGCCUUCAUGGAGUGUCAGAAGAGGAGCCUGGUCAAUCGGCGCCGGGUCAGCCACACAACAGGCCCCAAGAAGAACCGGGCCCUGCCCUUCGUGCCCAUGUCCUACCAGCUGUCGCAGUCCUACUAUAGGCUCUUUAACUGGCGAUUUCCCAGCACCAUCUGCACAGAGUCCUUCCAGUUCUUUGACAGUCUCCGGGCUGCCGGCAGGCUGGACCAGUCCGAUCCUUUUUGCUUCAAAGACCAGGAUAACAGUGAGCCCCCAGCUGGCAUGGUGGCAUUUUCCCUGGACGGCCCCGGCGGACACUGUGCGACCGCCCUGACCCUCUGGUCCCUGGGCCUCGUUUCCGUGGAUGUCAGGAUCCCAGAGCACAUCCUGGUGGUGGACAGCGCGAUCAUGAAGAGCCUGGGGAAGGAUGGGGCCUUGGAGGACGAGGAGGACGAGGAGGAAGACCUGGAUGAAGGCACGGGGGCCAAGCGAGCGGGCGUCGAGGUGAAGGCGCACCAGGCCUCCCACACGAAGUACCUGCUGAUGCGGGGCUGCUGUGUGCCCGGCCUCAUCAGCACGCGCAACCUCAACCCCAACGACAGCGUGGUGGUCAACUCCUGCCAGGUGAAGUUCCGGCUCCGCUGCAGCCCGCUGGACACCCAGCUCAAGCCCGCCGACCCCUCUCUGCAAGAGCUGACGGAGGGGACCUCCUGCCUCCCCAACUCCUUCACCAGGCUGAUGGAGCCGCCAGGAAACAUGGUCAGCCGGGAGGAGUUUGCCCGCCAUGGGGUGCUGUCUGGGUACAGCCCCGAGGACCUGUCUGCCGCCCAGGAGAUCUGGCAGGCUGUGGUCUCCGCCGGCUGUUUUGGGAUUGACAAGGAGAAGCUGAGCAGUCAGUUCUUGGCCUUGGAGAACACGGCGGGCUCCAAGACAUUCCAAGACUAUAUCCAGGACCUCUUGGCAUGGAGCCAGGUGCUGGAAGUCGGCAGCAACACCGUCCGCCUGGUGGCCAUGGCCUUCGCCCGCCCCUGGCUGCUGCACUCAGUGCGGCUGAAGGACACAGAGGAGGAUGCCCCGGCCACACUCCCCGAGGGACCUGCCAGCGAGAGGCUGGCUCCGCCUUCUCAGAGCACCAAGCGCCGCCCACGCUGGGCCAGCCAGAGCAGUGACACCGACGCCGACACCGAUGCUGAGUAUACCCGGAAGCCCCCUGCAAAGAGGCUCAUGCUCCAGCACGUGCACUGGGCCCCUGGCCCCAGGCUGGCAGCAGAGGAGGGGGUGGAAACCCUGGCUUGGGCUCCACCCCUGGCUCUUGAAGACCCAGGUGCAGGGGGCACCGGGCAGGAGGACCAAGAGCGAGGCCUGCCCAGCUCCCUGGGCCCAGAGCCGCUGAGCACUCAGGCCCAGCUUCCAGAGGGCUCGGAAGACCCCAGAGGGCUCCUCGAUGCCACUGGGGCUGGUGGCCUCUCCCAGGCACCUCCAGAAAAGGACUGUGAGGACAUCUGCUUCAUCGGCCGCCCGUGGCGCGGUGUGGAUGGCCUCCUGAACAUGCCAGUGUGCAAGGGCAUGAUGGAGGCCCUGCUCUACCACGUCAUGAGCAAGCCCGGCGUCCCUGAGAGCAGCCUGCUGCAGCACUACCAGGGCGUCCUGCAGCCUGUCGCCGUGCUUGACCUGCUCCAGGGCCUGGAGUCUCUCGGCUGCAUCCGGAAGCGUGUGCUGAGGAAAUCCCCCACCGUGUCGCUGUUCUCUGAGCCUGGCGUGGCAGGGCCCGGGCCUGAGGUGCCCUUGGGGCUGAGUGGCAGCACCGAAGCCUUCUAUGAGCCCACGCUGGACUGCACCAUCCGCCUGGGCCGCAUCUUCCCGCCCAAGGUCAACUGGAACAAGUGGAUCCACCUGUAG
rnacentral:lncRNA from 1 species